UAGAAUGACCCUUUAACGCUAGAAUGACCAAAACCAGUCAAAAUGACUGGUUUCAAAUGGCCCAUCCUAUACAAAAAAAAUCCGCCGGUAGUUCUAGUGCUAAUAUCGCCUUAGUGAUGGUAAUCACGUGGAAAUCGCAAGCGGUAAACACUGGGAAUCACCGACGCAUUCUUACAAUAUUCAAUUAGAACGUCAAUUGUUCUCGAAUCUCGUGGUUGUUUAUCAUGUUAAAUCAGGCGGUAGAUUCUCAAAGGAGGGAAAUCGUUUUCCCUGAUUUCCGAGUGAAUAGUCCCUCGGCGAGGAGUUAAAGUUCACCCCAUCGUCCUCGGUACGGUCGUUGAUUAACUCGUCCUGUUUCAUUCGGAAACUCGCCGGCGUCCUCUCGCCGUUUAUUUUUUAUACUUUUAUACAAGCCCUCGUUUGUAAGUAGUCGAUGUUGUAGCGAGCCGCAAUAAAGUUUUGCCACUUCCUUGAGAUAAUCCGGCCUUUCGGAGCUGUACCUUGAACGGGUCUCUGCGACUACGACGGAUAAAAAUAAAAUUAUCGAUACCGUCGGGUGUAUUCACUUCUCGCGAAUGUCUCUCGAAAUAGGCUUCCUAUCUGAUACUUACACAUGGAUCGGUCGUAUAUCAGAAUCGACGAUUCAAUGAACUUGCGGCCCCUUCUGUACGGAAUUAAUAGAAUUCGGAUGAAAUUAGUAUUGGCUGGCCGGAAUAGUAUUGACGCAUUCUCGUAACAGAUGGUCACAGGAAAGUGCGUCAUUACUUUUACGACAAGCCGGUAGAUUUCGCCGAGGUGAUGGCUUAUCCGAGGUGUCGAUCUUACCGACUCACCCCAAGGGUAUUACUCACCGAAACAUGUCGAGAUAACGCGAUAUCCGGGAUUAUAAAGACACUACGCAUAUGCGAUCGCUGUUGAACGGCGAUGAUUUCACCAACUAUUAAAUUACUCGUUUCAAAACAAUGCCCGAAGUGCACUUUAACGCGUUAACCGGUCAUUAGUUUGAAUCUAAGCGGACCGCGCUUUCGUCCGCCAUCUUGGAAAAUGGCGCCGAGUAUCGAUUUCCCGAGUAUCGAGAGUUUCGAUAUUUCCUGACGUUUUGAAUUUUCGUUGAGGUUUAACAUAUUUCUGGAAGUUAAAAUGUAUUGAAGUUAUGAUAGAUGUUAGAAUGGGUUACUGGUGAUGUAUUACGAGACAUUUGUCAGUCAUUAGUGAAACGCGUGACACUUUGAGUCCUCAAAAGGUUGAACAUUACAGAAGUGCCGUAACUUCAGAAGAUAUUUAUUAUUUAACACUGGUCUUCGGCUCGAAGGAAAAUUUUGUACAUGCUUCAGUGUUUAUCAAGGUGAUAAGCACAUCCCUGGAUCUGAGCAUAUUUGAACCUGGCUAACGUAUUGUUGCAGAAUUUUAUGUUAGUCUACAUAAACAUGGUUAAUUCCCGACUCUAGAACUACGUUAAUAGGUAUUUCUUUGAUGCACUAUGUUCAGGUACUAUAUAAGUUGGUAUCUUUAUUUUCUACUUGACAAAUCGUAUAAAUGUUUAUCAAGUAUUAACUUAUAUUUAAUAUGAAUGAUUUUUUAUACGAGAUCGAAAAUCUAGAAAAUAAACAGGUGACCUGCCAUGAAAA